rnacentral:lncRNA from 1 species
GGCAUUGAGCGACGGACUCAAUUGCGUGAUCGUCUUCGGCAACUAGACAGCAGUCGAAAGCGAAAGGGAAAAGCAACUAGGGAAAUACAGGGACAGGCAUAGGUAUGAAACCCCAUAACUGAACUGACCCCUCGGAGUUCUGGAGCAGCUAAUAAUUUAAAAAUUAAGAAAUUAUUUAGAGAAUGUUUUGAUUCAGAGCAGCUAGAACAGGACUAAAGUAAAGACCAAGUGAAUUCCAAGUUGGGCAGAAGACAGUUGCCAGAGGAGGAAGCUGACUACAGAUGAAAGUGCACCACUGAUGUCUUCAUGAGUCCAUCCAGCGCUUUUCAGAAGUGCUCUCGACAAACAUGAAACAGAUGGGGUCCCCCAGCAGCGACAUGGCAAAUUACAGAGUGCCUUACUGCAGGAACCCAGGGCAUCACAGCUCAUUUUAUGGCAAAAGAAAGGGGAGUACAGGAACAAGAGAGAGGAGGAGAGUGAUAGAGAAGAUCCCGGCAAGCUCUUCAGACUCCAGUGAUGAAAAUGAGGAA